UACGUAGGGUGCGAGCGUUGUCCGGAAUUAUUGGGCGUAAAGAGCUCGUAGGCGGUCUGUCGCGUCGGUCGUGAAAACCUGCAGCUUAACUGUGGGCGUGCGGUCGAUACGGGCAUGACUGGAGUUCGGCAGGGGAGACUGGAAUUCCUGGUGUAGCGGUGAAAUGCGCAGAUAUCAGGAGGAACACCGGUGGCGAAGGCGGGUCUCUGGGCAACAACUGACGCUGAGGAGCGAAAGCGUGGGGAGCGAACAGG
rnacentral:rRNA from 1 species